CCCCAACCAGACCCCACCUCCCAUCAGCACAUUCAGCCAUGAGCUCAUCCAUGCAUGAACCCACUGUUGACUAUGGAACCCUCAAGAUCCAAUCACCUUCCACACACAUGGGACUUGUGAGGGACAUUUUAGAUCCAAACUGUGACACGGAGCCUAAACGUUCUCUGCUAGUUCUUCAGCAGCAUGGAUAGAUAGAAAGCGGAACAUGUGUGGUUUGUUUGUUUUAAGUUUGAUCAGUUUCAAGUAGCAUUUUGGCACCUGUUCUUUCUUACUAGAAUGUUUUAUCCUAUAGUGUUACCAUUACUUUAAACCAUGAUUUGUCAUUUUUUUAAAAACAGGCUCACUGAUCAUGGUUAAGAUUUUUCAUCAAACAUGGCAAAGCAUCAUACCUCUUAUUUGUUCAAAACCUCACACUUUCUCCCCCGUUUCAUAGCUAUUAUGAACUCCAAAUUAUUCGGUAGGAUACAUUUUUUUAUACCUAGAGUGCACUGCCUACUAGGAUGGUCUAGUUUCCUGUCUGGGUGGGAGCAUGCUAAGUGUCUUGAGGGUGGCCUAAAAGCGCAUCACUGUGCUACAUCCCCCAGCCUUCUGCACAUUCCUUAGAUGCAGGGUGAGCUUCGGGGGAGGCAGCCUUGCCUAAGGAAACAGUGGGUUCAAAUCUUGCCUCUGCUGCCUACUAGUUACACAGUCCUGGGCAGCUCACUGAGUCACCUUUCCAUGAAACAGGGUCAAGUAUCUGUGUAGGAGUGGAGUAUGAUUAAACAGGAUGCCCUGGGUACCAGACCUUCCUGGUCUCUGCUGGUUCCUUCCUCCACCUCCUCCUCACCUCCUCCCUCCUGCCUAGCCCAUGACCAUUUCUGUCUCUGCUUCAGAGUAGGAUGGAGCUUUUCUCAGGACCACGUGCUUUUCUGGAACCAUGCAGAACUGGAAGCUCUGUGCUCUGGAGGCGGAGGAGACUUAGCAAAGCCCCUUGCUGAAUCAUAGCACAGUUUUGCUUUGUCUCAGAGCUGUGGGCUUUCAGGAAGCUUAAUCCAGUCUUACCCACAUGGGAAGUUUCGCUUUUGAGGUGGGUGUCUCUUCUCCCCAUAUGAAAUUCAUGUCCUACUUUUUUUUAGAACAAGUGCCUGGAAAACUUGGUCUCUCUGGGAACUGAUGUUUUUUUUCUCACUGGGACGAUUCUGUAACAUGUGUUACUCUUCCCCUAUGGGUUCCAGGAAGCUCAAAUUAAGGCUCAGUUAUAAUAACUCUACUUAAUCUUACUGGUUCUAGUAUUUUAUUUCCCUUGUCACAAUGCAAUUACAUGUACCUAUAAUGUAAGACACUUUUGGGUUAGUCUCAUCAGAACUUGUUCACAUUUUAUAUUUGCUCACAAGUCCUUUAGCAAUCAUCUUUUUAAUAUGUAGAGAAGGUGGCUAGAGCUCAGUCAGGAUAUAUAAAUUUUUUUUUUUUAGAUAGGAUCUUGCUCUGUAGUCUAAGCUGGCCUGGAAUUUGCAGUGAUCCUCCUGCCUCAGCCUCCUCAGUGCUGGGAUUAUAGGCAUGCCACCACACCCAGCUUCACUCAGGAUACACUGUAUAUUUUGCUAAUGUUUCAAAUUUCAUUGCCAAUGGAAAAAAAAGUCACCUAAAUUGUAGAUGGUAAUGGCAUUUUUAGAAUAAAAUACUAUUUCUAUUGGUCUAUCCCAUUGUUUAAAAGAACAAUCUUUAAAUAUCUGCAAGGAAGAGCUUAACUAGAUUCACAAUCAGUACCAGCACCUCCUUGUGUUGUAGAAAGUACCAGCAGGUCCACAUGUUUUUGUUUUUGUUUUUUUUGGUACUGGGAUCGAACUCGGGACCUUGCACUUUCGAGGCAGGCGGUGGCACCACCUGGCUAAAUCCCAGCCCUGGUCCGCGUGUUUUUAGAGAAACUGCAUAACUGCCUCACUGUUCCUUCAAUGUGAGGCUUGAAGCCAAUCGUUAUUCUACUACUAGUUUGUGUGACAGUGUAGCACCUGGAAGCCAGCUGAGGCUUGGGUAUUUAAAUCCAUCCUCACAGUAACUCAGUGUGAUUUCGAACCCGGAAGACCUGGAGCCAAACUACUUCCAGGAAAGGUGCUGUAGUUUCAACACCGCCUGGGUCUGAUGCCUGAGAAUUUGUUUCUUUCCCUCCAAAGGACUGAUUUCUUAUUGGCAUUAAGUUCUGUCACACUGCAAAGCAUGGAUGCAAAGCCCGUGGAGAAAGUUACCAUGUUGUGGCUGAAGUCCAGGCUCUGCAGCGGGGAGGGAGGGAGAGGAGAGGCUGCUCCAUGGUCUGUCCAGAUGUUUUGCAAUGAGACUUCAGGGUCUGAUAGUUUUCCCUGACAGUCUCCAUCGAAUCUGCUUCUCCCUCACAGUCUUGCUCUAACUGUGGGAGCAGUGGCAUCGUGAUUUAGGAAGAAGAGCCCAAGGUGGGUGUGGUGAUGGACACCUGUAAUCCCAGCACACUGGGAGGCUGAGGCCUGAGAAUCGCAAGGUCAAGGCCAGCCUGGGCAACAGUGAUUUAAUGCAAUCCUUCCUCAAAAUGUUUUGUUAAAAGGCUAGGGAUGGAGAUGUAGCUCAGCGCAAAGGUCCUGGGCUCAAUCCCCAGACUUGCGGGGAGGAACUUGAGGAAGAGGAAACAAAAGCGGUGUCCAUGUGGUCUCCUCCCCCUACUGUGCCUGGCUUCUUGCUGGCACCUGGGCUUAGUGCCCAUGGGCCUCCAGCACCCCUGGGGUCACAUAUCCAGUGAGCAUGACCUGUUCCACAGGGACUCACUCCCCCUGCCAGGCGCCUGAGAGCACAUCCUUCACAGUAUUUUAAGUGGUGCAAAGCCCUUGUAUUUAGGGUGGAUUUGAAUUUUGGGACCCAGCGAUCAAAUUAUUUAGAGUUCAGUUGGGAGACUUGAGUGGGUAACCAGCCUCGAGUAAAGCAAUUUUCAUUUAGGAAAAACAAGCACAUAAACACUGGGCUGAGUAAUAGCUAUGGAAUAACAAGAAUGGCUUACUUUGGAAGCUUGGGAAAGGACUCCUGGGAAUUUCAGAAAUGCAAAGCACUGAUGCAAUGAAGUCACCCCUUUGGAAAAGAAACUGCUGUAUGUGGAAAACUUAGUGCAUUUCAUCGAUGCAGCUUUUGGUUUUGAUUUUUCACCUCUACUCGUGUAUAAGUCACCCAGCCUGGACUCUCUGACACCCACUUCCUGCUAAACAAGGUGAUCCCGAAGAACAGGGAGAUGGGUCUGUGGUGUGAAGGGCUUUCUGUCCCCAAGUGCUCCUGAGAUCGUCUAGAACCUUUCAGAUCUUGAAGGCUGUGUUAUUUAUGGAGCCCCCUUUGAAUGCACACACCCUUAGGAGAUAUUAUAUCUUUUUUUGUUUUUGGUACGGGGAUCCAACCCAGGACCUUGUGCUUGUGAGGCAGGUGACAGAACCACUGAGCUAAAUCCCUGGCCCCAGGAGAUAUUAUAUCUUGAUGCACACCUAAAAUACACUGCAAAAUAUCCUAAAGGACUGUGACUCAUAAAUACACUAACAAGGGGGAAAGGAUACUGCAUCAAUCUGUCCAGCUGUCACUUAUUUAAUGAUGAUGGAAAAUCUACCAUGUCCCAAGUGUUGCUCUCUGCGACACUGGGGAGAUGAUGAACCGAUAUGACCCUUGAGAGGCUUAGUGUCCACUGUCACAUGAUUAAAGGGUAAGCCAGGGGGAGAGGAAGAUGUCAUGGAAGGGGCAGAUAUAAAAGCUCAGGGAGUAGGGUCGGAGCCGGGCUGGGGGACUGCAGGUUUUUAUUGUGUACGGUGGGAAGGGACCUCAUCCCUCUCCACAGCGUCUCUCCUCUAGGGGGUCAGGAGGCCGCUCCAGCCUCUUGCUUCCUCCUAGCACAGAGCUUGUGCACCCUUUGAGCCCUCUUGUCCUGGGUGACCUUGAGCAGCUGCAUAGUGGAAAGCCACAGGCAUCUCAGAAUGUGUCCUGCCUGACUGCUUGGAAAGGUGCCCUCGGCAGUGUUCCUGGUCACCUAGGGGCUCUUACUGGUCCACAGUCUCGGGGUGUCACAAAGCAGGGCUACAGUCAGAGGCUGCUGUUGGGGGCCCCCUGGGUGGUGCUUUCUUCUGGGCUUUAAGGUGCACCUUGUACCUAUAGAAGAGUUGCAGAUGGGCCAUCUCCUGCCCUGGAAAAUGCUGGCUCCAGGAACUGGAGGAGAGGGUUUGGGGGUUUCCUUUGGUGUCAUCAGUGCCUUCCUGCCUCACAAGACCUUUUUUGAAAGGAUAGCUUGAGGGAGGGUGGCAGGGGAAGAGCUGUCUUUGGCUCCUUCUCCAAGCCACCCGGGCUAUGGUGGUGGCUAUGCAGGGGCGGCCCAUUUUUAUGCACACUGCACACCACUGUUUCCUUCUCCAGCAGGUGAAAUCUCUGCCCUCUUCAGAAGGUGAGCUGUGAGCUUGCUUAUUUUAAAACUGUGACCUGUGAGGAGGGAGGUGUUCUUUGACAACGUGACAUCAUCCAAGCCUCUAUGUGUUGAGUCAUCAUUAUUUUUAGGCAGCUCUGUGCUUUUUCUGGCCAUUCUAAGAAUAGCCCAGUGUCUGGACUCUGCAGAAAGUCACCUCGGUGACAAUCCUGUCACCACACCACAGUUGGGAUGGACGGACGGAAUGCCUUCUCAAAUUCCAGGUCCCGGGCAUGCUUUUCCACCUCCAAAUGUUCUGCCUUUUUAGGUGUUCUGCAACCAACAAGAUAACUCUUGUCGGGGAUGUCAUUUAAAGUCGUUCAGCCUUGUGUCAAUGUACUCAUGGCUGCAAGCAGAACAGAGGCUGUAAAGUAACAGCCCACUGAUCUCUACUUAACCAGUACCUGCUUGGGUCAUGAAAACCUUAAUCCCAUGACUUUACCCAAUGUAAACUUGUCAAGGCAUGUUUCCAUAUGUGCACGUUACAGAUUGACUCACACUAGAUGCCUGGUUAAGAUGUGGGGUAGGGGGUACUGCUACCGGGAUCCAGGCCAGGUCAACUAAAAACAGCACACACAGACAUCGUUAUAGCUCAUCACAUUUAGCAAGCAAACAAGUGGCUGGAUUUGGUGACCUGGCGGUGGGUGAGAGGGGUUGAGCAGACCCGUAAAUGGGACUCUGUGCACUACCAUGGGGUCAGCCUCUCCACUGCCACUCAGAAUGUGCCCAAGUAUGAUUUGUUUAUUUUCUGGGGCUCUCCUGAGCUCAUAGGGGCAUCCAUGGUUUGCGAGUAUAGACAAAUGCUUUUCCAAUGAAGUGGGAGUGGGAGCAGCAGCUCGGGAUAAAAUGAGACCGUUGUCUGGGCUGUUUUUUAUGACAUCAUAGUGUGUCCGUGGGACAGAAGCACGGUUAUCGUAUGACCAGCGCCCUGGUGUGGUUGGAAGGACCAGGGCGGGCUGUGAAGCUGGGCUUUGCCUUGAGUCCCAGGACUCAGCAGAGCUGGCUGUGGCUCCCUGUCUAAGACUGAGCCUCCUCCCCAGCUGGGUGGUUCAGCAUCUCCUGAGAGAAAUGGUGUGGCACAGUCUUAGCAUGGCAAUUAUCAGCCCAUGCCCCCAACCAGACACCAGGUCUGGAGUUAUGGGACACAGGCAGUUUAGUUAACCCAUCCAAAACUUAGCUCCCCAUCAGUAGAGAGCACUGAGACCUUGGACUUACCUCACAGCAUUGGUGAGUGAUGCAGCUGACCUAGCCCAUGAUGGCUUUGUCCUGGAGCCUGAAGGUAGUGGGGCAGUCAUGACUGAGGUUUCUGCCACCAGCUUAGAACUCAGGAGCCUUGUCUGCCUUGUCUGUGGUCAUUCCUGCCAUCCCAGGGCAGCAUCCUGGUCUACUCCAUGGUCUCUUCUCACCACCCACAGAAGGGUGUCUAUAUCCAGGUGGUGGGAAGGGCAGUGAACCUAGGACUGGCUUGGAACCUGAGCACAUAGGUUCCCAGAGCACAGCCCAUUGCUGUCCCCUUUGCACACAGCAUCUAGAGCAGGCACAAGAAAAGAAAAAAGAAAAAAAGCCAGUCGUGUCUUCCUUCCCUGGCGCUCUCCAGAAAGGUUCCUUGCCCGUUGCAUUGAAUGCGUGGUUAAAGACCAGAUGUGGGCCAUGGGCAAUUCUGUUCCUCUUCUCCCCUGUGAAGCCAGACGUGCACUGGAUUUCUGUUUCAGUCGAACGAUUUCUUAGACAUUUCCGGGAUAGACAGUGCAAUUUUCCUUUCCUACUGUGCUCUUCAUUCUGUUUAUCUUUUCAUCUGUUUCUGGGAGAAAACUCAUUUGGUUGGCCCUGCUUUCUUUGUGAGCCAUUAAAGUCAUUUCAAAUUUUAAUUUUAGGAAGCAGAAGUCUACUUGAAUGCAGGACGCUCUUCUCUGCUGCUGUUUCCUCCUUGCCAGCCCGAGGAAUGUACAUCCCCAGCUGCCUCACAUCUGAGAACCUGGAGGCCUCCUCCAGCCUCCUGUUGUUGACUGCUGACCAGGACUAGGGUUGACUUUGCUCCACUGGUUUCCUUGAGUGAGUUCACUGAAGACUGAUAUAUACAGUGGUAUAUUAAAUGGUUACUUUUGCUGCAAUCUUAUUUUUAUCUCUGGGAUUUUUUGUUAACAUUUAAAAGCAAGUCAUUUAUUUAGAUAGAAAUCUUCCGAUAUAUACAACAUUCAGGAAGAAAUAAAUAUAUGUUGUUGUCCACACAGUGUGGGAAAGAUGGUGAGAAGAAAACCAGGAGCUGGUGCUUGAAUUGUGCAGCAGAAAGCUCCUCCCAGCCUUCCUGGCCCACGCUGUGCUCCUCCCCCUGCCGUUCCCUUCCUGCCAAAGAUCCUUUCCCUGAUCGAUGGAUGGCAUCCGGGCCCUCUACACAAAAGUAUUUUAAAGGCUACAUCAGGAAGAAAGCACUUUUUUUUUUUUUUUUUUUUUUUUUGCCAUUUUGUAACAUUGUUUAUUAAGAGGGAAAGUCGGUAUUUCUAAGCUGUAAACAAUGAGGAAUUGAAGUGUCAAAAACGCAGAGAUCAGAUACCGCCAUAACUCUUACACUGUCUUAUUGCCUUAACCUAUGCAAAAUACUCAGGCAAAAGUGAGUAUUAAGCGAACAAUUUUGCAUAUACGGCCCCUUCUCUUUAUCUUUCUGUGCCUUUAUCUUUUGUUUGACUUUCAGCAGUUCUGCCUGGAUAGCUUUAUCUUCUGGUGCUAUCUCUGAGCUUAGGAAGAAAGCACUUUUUCCUCCACCUCCCUCCCUCCCUUUUUAAAAACCCAGAGUAUCUCUGGCUAAUGCUCUCCCUCAGUUCCUUUGUCUCUUGUCUCCUGGUUCAUAUGCUGGGUACUGAUGAGCUGGGGAUGUGCUUUUUCCUGUUCCCUUGAAGAAGGCAAUCUUGUAUUUCUUGGUGAGAAUAAAUAAAAGUGAAGUCACACCUAGCAGGCGAUGUAGGCAGCAGAUCCAGACUGUCCAUGAGAAGGCAAAUUUUGCAACAAACUAGGGGAGGAGGAAGAUUGAAUUCCUAUAACUGUGAGUGUCUUACACUCUGAUCUUCUCUAUCUUCCUUCUCCAACUAAGCAGUUGUAUCCAGGCCUUUAAUUGCUAGCUGUGUAUACACUGGUAAGUCCCAACACCCUGUACCUAAAUCAGCACCCCCUCUGAGUGAGCCGCCAGGCGCCUCCUUUAAUGUUAUAACACAGAAACUAAGAUCCAAGACUGGAGCCCUGCUCUUUCCCUCUAACCACGUCCCCCUGCCUCCUUCCAGUGUGCCUUGACCUCCUGCCCAGCCACCCACACCCAGUUCCUCUAUCAGAAACUCUCCUCCUCCCACACCCACAUCCCUCAUGAUCUAACCUCGGUGGCAUUAUUACAGGCUAAGCCAGACAGAAAUUAAUAUACAGUCAGAGAGGGACUGGGCUGUCAAGGAAGCCAGUGAAAAUCACAGAUAGCAGAAUUGUGGCUAGAGGCACAUCUGAAGAAGACAAGGCCUCAAGAUAGGGUCACAGUGCCCUCACUUCCCUAAGGGACAGGCAGAACUAUGAUUGGUACCACAUGCAUCAGAUCCCCAGAUGGGUAACCAGAACACCUGGACACAUCCCUUCCCCAAAUGCUCCUGCUUUAGAAGUCAUAUAGGACAAGGUUAAUGACUUCAGCCACAUACCCUUUGCUACAUGCCCCAUUUCCCUAUUGGAUCAACAUUAGCUAAGCAGCUAUACCUGUAAUCUUAUUGCUUGAUUAUAGUUUGACCCACGUUGUACCCACACUGAGACUUUGCUGUAUAAAUUACCCCUGACAAAGGGUGGCAACCCACUCAGGACCCCUCCUGUCUCUCAGGAGCUAACUCUCCAUAAACCUCCUUUGUCCUUUGAAAUUUAUUCUUUGAUUUCAGGGCACACAAACAUGGCACGUCUGACACAUGGCAGGUAGGCAGUUAUAUUUUUCCUAUGUCAGCGUGAUCUAGACAUCUCCCCGGGCUCUGGGUGCCUCUCGUCUGGAAACUGCGGUUGCAUCUGUCCUGGUCUUUGACUGGUUCACUCUGGCCACAUUUUGACACAUUUCCUUUUGUACAUUGAGUACUUGGGGGAGGGGGGUGGCUUAUUUCAAAGGUCAAAUCUGUUAAGUAUAAACAUAUCAAAAGCUUCCCAUUCCUUUCUGGAUAAAAGCCAUAUUCUUAGCCUGGUCCUUAAUACCCAUCCCACCCCAAAGAUUUUCUCCCAUGCCAUAGCCCCUGGGCUCUGUGUCUAGGCCACAUGAAUGACUCUUCCUUUCAGUGUGCCUGCACUGGUUUGUUCCCAGGGCCUUUGCACAUGCUGUGUCCUCUGCUGGCACUCAUCACUUAAACCCCAUCUCCGAUGCUUCUGUGCCAGCCCUCACCUUUGCUGAUCCCAUGUUCCACACCAUCACAGGCCUGGGUUUCUUCCUGUAGAGUGUUCCCCUCAGCACAGUGAUCCAUUUCCCCAUGGGACUAUUAACUAAGACCCUCACAUUAGACCAUAUAGCUCCUGACUGCAUCUGCCCCACUGAAACUCUGCCCACUUAGCACAGAUCCUGGCACAGCAUUUGUGGGGAAACUAACAUGUGACUGGCACCUUUGACUGAUGUCUGAUGAAGACAUGUCCCAUGGGACCCAGAGAUUUCUUCCAGAAAUUAGAACUUUAGUUAUCCUCAAGACAAUAUUCCCCUUCUUCAGUGUAAUAACUAAGAAAACUCUGCCGAGUCUGCCAGGAGAUUUCUGUGAGUGAUUUCUUCUGACCUUUGCAGAAGGGAGGGAGGGAGAAGGUGCAGACCUGGAGCCAUCUGUUGGUGUAGACAGUGAUCUGUUGUGAUCAGGACUUGAACCCUCAUCUUUUACUAUUUUUAAGAAAUCUGUUUUCAUGGUCCUUAACUGCAAUCCCAUCUUCUAUAUCUGAUAUUCUAUCUUCAGAUUCCCUUAAUCUUCUGUGCAUACUUUCAGUGGAGUUUUUAGUCUCCUGAAUAUCUGUUUGAAUCUGUUUCAUGGAUUCCAUUUCUUUCUUAUGCUGGGCAUUCAUGGCUUCCAGCAUGUUUCUGAGCUCAUCUAUUUUUUUUAAUCUGUUUCCAUUCUAGAGCCUCUAAUCGUGUCUUUCACUCUGUUCACCGUCUCCAUGUUAUCUGGGAGAUUAUUUCUGCUUUGAAUUUUUCUAGAGCCUCAUUUCGUCUGUUUUGUUACUUCCUGUGCUAUCAGUUCAGGGUGUCCAGGUG
rnacentral:lncRNA from 1 species